GCGCGUCCUAGGGUUGGAGGUCGUCUUCCCAGUACUUAUCCCCCCCAGCAGCCGCCAUGGGAGAGUUGGGUUUUGUUUUCACGAACUAGCAGUUGCUACUUCUCCUGGACCGCGCGUGCUGAUCCAGCCGUCCGUCUCCUUGUAUUCGGAACCCCACGACGGGUGCCCUCAUGGCCGGUGUCGCGCAUCGCAAGGGCGCGGCCACCAGGGAGGAGGUGUAUCGGUUGCUAAGGCGCAGCGCCAUUGGAUUGCUGAAGUCGGACCACCAACGUCUCCUCUUCCCCUCAAAUCGAGUUAUCCAGUUCGUCCUCACCGAAAGAUCGGGAAAUCCCCCUUGGGUUCUCAUCAGUUGGUAAUCGGAGCAAGGUUCAUAGGUGAGAGAUUUCCUUUUCCUCAUCGUUUUACUUGUCCUAUAGUCUAGAAAAGGCCAAAAAAAAUUAGUAGACUAGUUUUUCUGAGAUCCCAUAGACCCUUUGAGCCUUUACUAGAACUGCUUGGUUAGGGCUUGUUGAGUCUUUGGUUGCGUCGGGUUGUGUCGAGUUGCUGGUCUUAGUUUUAGUACUUUUAGAGUUUCGAGUUCUUAUCACACAUUUUCAGUCACAGCCGUGCAUCACCUAUAGUUGGUUUUGAUCUCUGGAUCGAGUUGGAAGUGCGCCUAGAGCAAAUCUGUUGGAGACCGAGUGCCUCACUGCAAUAAAUAGAGCUCGGUCUAAUCUGUGUAGAAGGCCAAGUAAGUUUUGCAAAUAGGUGGAGUUCGGCCUUACUCAACAGAGAGAGUAUGUGCUGAGUUUCUCAAUUGCAGUCCUUUUUUUUAUAUAAUCAGUUUCUGAGUGUCCUCUGGAAAAAAGAAAAGAAAAAAAACAAGAAGAAGAAGAAAAGGGUAUGAUUCUUCCUUUGCUAUUCUUGUUGUUUUGGUUGGUGCUUUGUGACUUCCCUUGUGUCUAGGCUCGCAUAUCUAGCACGGUCUAGGCUAGGAUCAGCACAAGACUACCGUCGAACGAUUACUCAGCUUGCUUUUGUGACUAACAUGGUGCUAGUAUUUCCUUAUGUUCUUUUAGCCCACCUACAGCUCCACAUACUCGAUUUUCAGCUUUACAGGAGUUGUUGCUGCAGCACCGAUACACUUCCUUCCUGGUGCCUGACUUGUUGAUUGCCAACCCUCCUGCGAGCAGGGUAAGAAUUGAUAGGAGCUUGUACAACAGGUUGAGAGUGAGAGAGCACUAGACAACAAUUACAUCUAAUAGUUGUAGGAAAUUUCCUACUUUACUUGUUUUCUGUUUGCUCUUGCAUCUUUUCCAUGGCAGGUUCAGAGAAUAAGGAUGAGGAUGAUGGAGGCCCACUUACACCUCGUACCAAGAGCAUCACACAGUAUUUUCAGAAGCUACUGAGGGAGUACACCUAUGGGAUUGAUAAUGAUUUGCAGGUGAUAAAUGAGAAGAUUGGGCAAAUGGAGGCCCCGCAGAUUUCAACACCAAGCUUGCAGGGUUGAAGACAAUGGUUGGUCGCGUAGACAAGAGUCUCGCUGCUCAUUUGAGGCACUUUGAUGAGCUCCAUGUAAAGACAAAUGAUCAGCAUAGAGGACAUGGCGAAGAGGAAGAGAAAAAUGAUGAAAAUUCAGGUGCUGAUUAUGCUUUUGACACCGAAGUGGAGGAUCGAGGCCAGUGACAUCUACGCCAUAACCUUCGAGGUAUGUGUGGACAACGUCCACGUGAGGUACAUAUAUAACAAUGACAAUGUUUUCAGUAAAAUAAAAUUUAAGAUACCUUCUUUUGAUACUAAAUAUGAUCCUAAUGCAUAUCUUACUUGGGAGAUGGCUGUUGAACAAAAGUUUACUUGUCAUAAUUUUCCUGAAAAUGCAUGUGUUAGAGCUGCAACUAGUGAGUUCACAGAUUUUGCUUCCGUUUGGUGAAUAGAACAUGGAAAAAAAUCCUAAUAAUAUGCCAUAAACUUGGGAUGCUUUGAAACGGGUCAUGAGGGCUAGAUUUGUUCCAUAUUACUAUGCACGUGACCUAUUAAACCAGCUACAACAAUUAAAACAGGAUACUAAAAAUGUUGAAGAAUACUAUCAAGAGCCGCAAAUGGUUAUGCUACGCAGCAAUUUAGAGGAGGAUGUGGAACCUGCUAUGGCUAGAUUUUUUGGUGGGUUAAACUGAAAAAUUCAGGAUAUCCUGGCUUAUAAAGAGUACACUAACAUAAUCCGUUUGUUCCAUCUUGCUUGUAAAGCUGAAAGGGAAGUACAGGGACAACGUGCAAGUACCAAGACUAACAUUUCUGCAGGGAGAAUUUUUCCACGCAGCCCAGUUUGAGCAUUCCAUUAACUGGACAUGUUGCUGCACCAUAUUCAUCAUCAGCUCGGACAGCAACCCCACCUUCUAGUGACAAGCCUCGUGAUAGCCCCGCAAAUUCAGCAGCAAAGACCGCGCAAAAACCUGCUACAACCACUUCAUCGGUGGCAUCCAUGGCAGAACAAGAGACAUUCAGUGCCACCGUUGCAAGGGAUUUGGACAUAUGCAUGCGUGACUGCCCAAGCAAGCAUGUUUUGGUGGUAAAAAAUGAUGUGAGGGCUGCCCAGAAGAACAUUAAUGCAGCUGAAGCUGACCGCUAAGAGAGCCUCAUUGUGCAGCGCGUGCUGAGCGCACAAAUGGAGAAGGCGGAACAAAUCAGCGGCACACAUUGUUCCAACACAAAGUGUGUCAUUAAAGAGCGUUCGUGCCGAGUGAUCAUCGAUGGAGGUUGCUGCAACAACUUGACCAACAGCGACAUGGUGGAGAAGCUUGAGCUCACCACCAAAUCUUACCCCUGCAUCCAUAUUACAUUCAAUGGCUCAAUAACAGCAGUAAGGGAAAGUCACUAAACUUUUGAAGGAGUAUGCAAACAUUUUUCCAAAGGAGGUGCCACCGGGGCUGCCACCAAUCCGUGGGAUCGAGCAUCAGAUUGACCUUAUUCCCGAGGACCUUAUUCUCGAGGCCUCCUUGUCAAAAUAGUAGAAGAAUUCUGCAAACAUAGUUAGGCAGUGUUGGAAGAAAUGCUAAGAACUAGGAAGGAUGCUUGAACCUGUUUACAAGUUGGAAGAUCACAUCAAGAUUUUGUGUUUAUUUUGUUUUGGAGGUCCUGCAGAAUAUUUUGCACAAGCUUAAUGGCUGUAGUGAAGUCUGAUAGUUUGACCUGUAAUGGUAGAUGUGGAAAUGCUAACGGCUUCCUCAUAUGCAAACUUGAUGUCUUUUGGUUAGAAAUGAUGGAUGUUUCUGCUCAUAGAUGCAGACCUCAUGCCUCUGAGCUAGCUAGCUAGCUUUGUAUGGCUGUAAUGUGCAAUUGGACUAGCUUAUAGCUAGCUACCUCAUGUGUAUGAAUUAUGGAUAAUUUAGUAUCAAUGUUAUAAGCUCACUUUCAGUGAAUCGUUA